AAAAAUCUAGUGUUUAAGGGGCGUGGAAACUUAUAUAUAAGACAUUUUACUCGAUGAUAAAUCGUAAAAGGUUCUGUUCAUCGCAUUGAUAAGAGGUUGCGCAAAAUGAAAAAAGCUGUUGUUGCAGUGCUUUUGUUGAUGAUUUGCGUUGUUUCAUCGAGAAUUAUAUCUGAUCCAAACAGUCUGCAGUUAAAUGGAUUGCAGACAUGGGUCCGCAUCAUCAACUCCCUCUCAGCUCGUGGAUUGCUCACAGAACGUGACUUUAGGAGAUUUAAAUCGUACAUACAACUACUCCAACAGGCAUUGCAGAAUAACGGGACUCCAAGUUGACGAACUAAAACUGACAGUUUUAUCCAAAGCUAUUGCUCAAAGAUACAUCGAUACGGAUGUACAAAUCUAUAGCUAAAGCUGAAAACGUUAAUGUGAUACCAAAGCUUGUACAUUGAGAAAUCUUGUGCUUAUACUGAUUUAGAAAAAAAAAUAGCUUUUUUAGUUUUAUUUUUAAUUUUAAAGGAACUUAGACACGAUUUGAGCUCAAACUUUUUAAAAAAUUUAUGGUUACAAUGUUUAAUAUUUUUUAUGCUUUGUCAAAAAUUGGAAGUUGCGUAUGGAUACAUACAUGUCAUUUUAAAAUCUUUGUAUUUGUAAACAAGGUUUGAAACUU